rnacentral:lncRNA from 1 species
UCGGGUCGUGUUCUGACAGCUAGCACUCCACUCUUGUUUGCUGCGUGCGUUCGUCGCUUGGCCCGCUUGCUGUUCUCGCAAAAGCGCGGGGCAGAGGAGAGAAAGAAGCCUCUCGUUCUCCGAGAGAGACGCAGAGGCCGCAGUCAGGGCCUGGAUAUACUCGGAGGCUCGGCUUCUCUUCUGGGUGCUCCUUGUUGCUUCCAGGGAAAGUUUAGUCUGGAUCUGAGGCCUCGUGGCGCUCUUCCUGGUUUUUCAAUUUUGGUGGAGAAAUAGAGUUUGUGGUGAAGUAAAUGGCACCGCUGGAAUCCAAACCCUAAUGAAGCAGAGUCUCUUCUUAACCACUGUCUAUACUAAAGGUAAUUUAAAACAGGGUGCAGACAACAGGAAAGCAACAACUCUGGUUUGGUCACCGUGGUGGUCUUGCCCGGCACAUGGUGGGAGUCCAGCCAGAGCUGAUGGGAGCACCACAGGCAUCUCCCCUGAUGCAGGGUAAAUUGCAGAAGCCGUGGUACCAGCCCGCAUCCAUGACCCCACAGAUAUUCCCCUUCUCCAAGUGGACUGACCCAGGCCUUUUACAAACACAGAAGGAUCUUGUGCAAGAUGAAUUUUAGUACUAGCUACUAAAAGAUCUCUUCACACAAAAGGCAAUAUUCCUGAAUUUGUAUUGGUCCAGGCAUUCGAGAAUCAAGAUGUUUUCCUGUUUCCAUGGAAGCAGAGUUCAUUUGGCUGGGAUGUUCUGAGCUUUUGCUUCCAGACCUUUGAUGCCGGGGCAUGUUGUCUUCAGCAGAGGCUCUGGCCAAGUCAGAUGCCCACGUGUCUCUGCUUGGUGAAGCCGAAUGCCUCGCCAUGACUCUGGAGAAGCUCUUUAAGUGUCUGAUGCAGUGGGAAGAGCUGAGCCACAGCUUGAUACCAGUGUUGGGCCCCAGAGUCCCCAUAUGCUGCCUCUCAAGGGUGGUAUUCAAAGUGGGUUGUUGUUCUUGUUGUUGUUUUGGUCACAUCCCAGGCGUAACUGCAGUACAACAUCACAGCCAGGAUGCUGACAUUGAUAAUCCUCCUAUCUCAUUCACAUUUCCCCGUUUUACUUGUAAUGUGUGUGUGUGUGUGUGUGUUUGUAUUUAGUUCUUUGAUGUUUUAUCACAUGUGCAGAUUAAUGUAUCUGCUACAGUCAAGAUAUAGAACACCUGAAUCCUUUGUGUUGCUCUUUGGUACCCACCUCCUCCCCAUCCCUCCACCCCAACACCUGGCAACCACUGAGCUAGUCUCCAUACUGCAAAUUUUGUGAUAUCAUUUGUUACAUAGAUGGAAUUGCCUAUUGCAUAGCUUUGGCGGAAUGGCUUUUCAUUUUCCCCCUCAAAACAUAUUUCUUUACAAUUACUACAAGCUGUUGCAUGUAUCAGUAGUUUUCUUUCUUUCUUUCUUUCUUGCUUGCUUCCUUCCUUCCUUCCUUUCUUUUUUUUUUGGCUGAACCAGUAGUGGCAGGCAGAAGUUCUGGGACCAGGGAUCGAACCCAAGCCAUAGCAGUAACCAAAGCCACAGCAGUGACAAUGCUGUACCCUCAACUCUCUGAGCCAGCAGGACUCUCCUCAAAGUGUUUUUUUUUUUUUUUCCUUUCUUUUUAGGGCCACACCCACAGCAUAUGGAAGUUCCUGGGCUAGGGGUCAAAUUGGAGCUGCAGCUGCUGGGUUACACCACAGCCACGGCAAUGUGGGAUCCAAGCUGUGUCUGCAACCUGCACCAUGACUCACAACAACACCCAGAUCCUUAAUGCACUAAAUAAGUGCAGGGAUCGAACCCUUAUCCUCAUGGAUACUAGUUGGGUUCAUAAUCACUGAGCCACAAUGGGAAGCCCCCAAAGUGGGGUUUUGGAAGAUAGUAGGAUUAUUCUAGGCUCAGAUUAAAGUCAGGUGGGUAAGCAUCAUUGCACAGGGAGGAAAAAGUGUGAGCCAGAUGGUGAAGGCAGGAAAGUUAGAGCCCUCUUUGGGAAGGAGAUGGCGAUAUUGUAGGAACCAGCUUGGGGUUUGUUUGGGAGGGACAGCAGCAGGCUCUCUCCCUGCCUCGUGUCACUUCCCUAUGUCCUUCCUGUGAUUUGGGGGCCUCUGUGGUGCAUGGCCACCUGUAUGCAGGCAGCACCAGCAUCUUGUCCCUCUUGCUCUGUCUCAGGGCUCUCUCCUGGGUGCAGGAGAGCACUCAGCCUGCUUGCAGGAGCAUCUCAGCCCGCAGGCAGCCCCCAGCCCAGGGGAGGAAGGUUGGUGGACCACACCAUGACAUGUGGUCUACACACGUCCUUUGAGGGGUGAGCCCGGUGCCCACAGUGGUAACCAGUGCGAUAACGCUGUUUAACCCUUUCGAUACCCUCACACUUGCCUGGGCUCAUCUUGCAAAGAAGUCACCUGCAUGUGAUUUAUGAGCAUGGAGGAAACUACUGAAGGGUACGCGGUUGUUGGGAUGAUUGCUUGGUGCAGCGUAGGGAAGGUAAGCAGGAGAGGGAAUGGGCAUAAAAUAUACUCAAACCAAACAAAACUACCCAUUAGACACAGCAUGCUGAGUUUUUUGUUUGUUUGUUUUUGUUUUUGCCUUUUUCUUUUUGCCUUUUAGGGCUGCACUUGGAGCAUAUGGAUGUUCCCAGACUAGGAGUUGAACCAGAGCUGUAGCUGUUGGCCUACGCUGCAGCCACAGCAAUGCCAGAUCCGAGCUGAGUCUGUGACCCACACCACAGCUCAUGGCAAUGCUGGAUCUCCAAUCCAGUGAGCGAAGCCAGGGAUCGAACCUGCAUCCCCAUGGAUACUAGUUGAAUUCAUUUCUGCUGGACCGCGACGGGAACUCCCACAUGCUGGGUUCUUUGAUAGACAAUCUGUAAGGAAAAGAGAAAGGUAGAGAGGAAACCUAUGCCGAGAAGAAAUGAAGACUUCUCAAAAAACUUUUUAAUUAAAAAAAUUAUUGAUUUAUUUAUUUUUGGCCAUGCCUGAGGCACGUGGAAGGUCCUGGGCCAGGGAUUGAACCUUGCACCACAGCAGUGACAACAUCAGAUUCUUAACUGCUAGGCCACCAGGGAACUCUCAAAAAUUUUUUUAAAUGGACCAGACCAAGCUAUAGUGUUUAGGAUUUCAUAGUUGAGUGAUAAGACCAUAAAGAAACACAAAGAAGGGAGUAUCACUGAAGUCACAAUAGUGAUUACUUUUUUUAAAGGGAGACAGGUAGUGGCUAUCAUGGGACAUUUGAUGGAAAUUUCUAAGCUGCAAAGUUCUAUUUUUUUGAUCUGGGUGGUAGUUAUAAUAAUUCAUUGAAGAGUACAUUUAUUUUGAAUAGUUUUUCUGCAUUUGUAUUCUAUUUUACUUUGCAAAAGAAAG